rnacentral:rRNA from 1 species
CCAUGCCGCGUGUCUGAAGAAGGCCUUCGGGUUGUAAAGGACUUUUGUCAGGGAGCAAAACUUACUGGUUAAUACCUGGUGAGGUUGAGAGUACCUGAAGAAUAAGCACCGGCUAACUACGUGCCAGCAGCCGCGGUAAUACGUAGGGUGCAAGCGUUAAUCGGAAUUACUGGGCGUAAAGCGUGCGCAGGCGGACUUUUAAGCCAGAUGUGAAAGCCCCGAGCUUAACUUGGGAAUUGCGUUUGGAACUGGGAGUCUAGAGUCUGUCAGAGGGGGAUGGAAUUCCACGUGUAGCAGUGAAAUGCGUAGAGAUGUGGAGGAACACCGAUGGCGAAGGCAGUCCCCUGGGAUAAGACUGACGCUCAUGCACGAAAGCGUGGGGAGCAAACAGGAUUAGAUACCCUGGUAGUCCACGCCCUAAACGAUGUCUACUAGUUGUUGGGGUAGCAAUACCUCAGUGACGCAGCUAACGCGUGAAGUAGACCGCCUGGGGAGUACGGUCGCAAGAUUAAAAACUCAAAGGAAUUGACGGGGG